GCAGUAAUGCGCUUCUAUCUUGUUGUAUAGCAUGCACUGUACAUACCAGUAGUUUUGUAGUGAAUAAUUAUUUAUAUUAACUGCAUUAUUCAUCUAUGGAGUUGCUUUCUCUUUUCCAUUCAUGGUUUGUGUGGUGAUGGCAGGAGUAGGAGGAUCGGACAGUGGCGGUGGAUAUGGCUAUUUUCUUUCAAUAAACUUUCUUUAGAAAUAAGAAUAAUAACUCUUAUCUUAAGAGAGAAAAAUUGUCGCGCUCUUUGGAGCUGAUAAAAUGGGGUGAACUGAGCCAGGAAUGAUAAGUUCAGUGUUAAAAUGGCCCAGAAAAAAAAUCAAAAGGUUUCAUAUGACCUUUACCAACAAGGGUAUUGAAAUGGAUUCAUCAAAUGUGUCAGUGAUUGGUGCUCCACAAACUAAUCUGGAUGCUGAAAUCAAUUCUUUUUUUGAUUCGGCUCCUCCUUUAAGAGACAGCGCUAGUAUUGCCAAGAAAUUGAAGGAAUUCAUUGAAUUCAAUUCUUCACCACCAGGAAAUGGAAGGAUUGUGUGUGUGACAUCUGGCGGUACUACAGUUCCCUUGGAACAACGUUGUGUUCGUUACAUUGAUAAUUUCAGUUCAGGUCAUAGAGGAGCCACAUCCACCGAGUAUUUUAUCAAGGCGGGAUAUGCAGUGAUAUUUUUGUAUAGGAGGGGAACUUGCCAGCCAUAUUGCCAAUCUCUUCCUGAGGAUCCACUGCUUGAGUGUUUUGACUCCAUUAAUGGCUCCGAUAUCCAAGUGCGGCAAUCAUAUUUUGAAGCAGUGAAGAGAGCCAUUAAUGAUCAUCAUGCUGCUGUAAGAGGAGGUCACCUGUUAAAACUCCCUUUUACAACCAUAUUUGAAUAUCUUCAGAUUUUACAAAUGAUUGCAAUGUCAAUGAAGAAUCUUGGUCCACAUACUAUGUUUUAUCUUGCUGCUGCAGUGUCCGACUUUUAUGUCCCUUGGAAGGAUAUGGCAGAGCACAAGAUUCAAUCAGCAUCUGGCCCUUUGGACAUGCGACUUGUGCAAGUGCCUAAGAUGCUCUCAGUGUUCAGAAAAGAAUGGGCUCCCAUGGCCUUCUGCAUAUCAUUCAAGCUGGAGACGGAUUCAAAGAUUCUUCUAGAGAAAGCUGAUAUGGCUCUUAAAAAGUACAAGAUGCAUGUGGUGAUUGCGAAUGAGCUAUUGACUCGCAAAGAGGAGGUUAUAGUUGUGACAGCUGAACAAAAGAUUCCAGUGCACCGUGACAAGACUCAGCCUGAUUCUGAUGUGGAAAAGCCCCUGGUUGAGCUCCUUGUGGAGAAGCAUUCAGCUUACAUUACGGAUUCUGACAUGUGAUUUUACUGAUUAACAGCAUCAUAUAGUUCAUUCUUCCACAUUCCGUCCGUUGUCUAGCCCUUUUAAGGUUCUCGGGAGGACAAGCAUCAAAAUUGUGACAUCUUGCUAACGAGGCUGCUUGCUGGCUAUAAAUGGCGAUUCUCAUUAAUUCCUUGACAAGGUUUCAUCUUCAUCUGUAUCCAGCUCGAGACCUUCUGCAGCCAAAAGCUGACUGAUAGCCUUUUUCUUCUCUUCCUCUGCUUUUUUCCGCAUCAAGUCCCUUUUCUUUAAGACAAGUGUAUGCCGCCUCAGGGUACUGUUCAAGUACUCCAUAGAUGCCUUUUUCUCUCUUGCCAGGAUUCUUCUCUCUUCUUCAGGGUCAACCUAUGAUUCCAAUGAAAGAAAAUUUAGAUCUAUCAAGUGAGAGCUAUACCAUAGAGGUUCAAUGCUCCACUUGUUUCAGCCAAAUGGAAUCGGAAAGAAGCACUAUAAGGUUCUUAAUAGCAGAUAUGCUUUGUAAUAAUUGUGGUAAUGGCAAUAACAAUAUAAGAAGAUCCCAUUCAGAUUGACAAAUGUUGCUGCUAGAAAAAAGUAUACUUUUAUGUGCAAUUAGAUGUCCCUGUUUACUAUGAAA